ACAAAUUAUUAUUAUCAAUAAUAGAAAUGUUCUAAAAAUAUUCCGAAAGGGAAAUAUUUAGUCCAGUCAAUGAUAAAUAACGAAUAUAAAACUGUCUGCUUGCCCAUAUAGUCAUUUUUAAAAAAAUAAGAAGAUACUAUACUGGAUAAUGACGAACCGUCGACUGCUAAAACAUUUCAAAUCUGAGGCUAAAUAGCUGUUCAUAUAUUUUCAUAAAUAGAUAUUUAUAUGGCAGAUAAUAAAACCCCUUUUAUCCUCUCUCUCUCUCUCUCUUUUGUCUUUUACAGCAUUUAUGUGUAUUGUUUAUACUUAAGGGGGAAAAGAUGAACGAAUUGCACAUGCCGUCUUCGAAAAGCCUUUUAAUUAGCAUACUAAAAAUAGUUUUAAAUAAAUGUCGCUAAUAAUCCCGAUUGAGCGAAUAGGGCCGUUUCUACCCGAUUAGACACGUAUUGUGGCCGCGCGCUCACGCAGAGAGCCAUCUGAACUGUGUGAUCUCUGGUCUAUCAAUACCUGGUACUCAGAAGAUAAAACCUGCUCUCUAGGUUCGAUCUCAUUUCCUAAAAACUCAAUAUUUGUUUUACACAUCGUUUACAUUUUCGCUCUUCUUUAUCUUUAGAUUAAUAUUAAUAACGAUUAUUAUUAUUAUUAUUACAUCAAUAAUAAUUGCCGUUGUUGAGUGUAAUAUGUAGGAAAUUGUCUCCGAUAUAUAUACAGUGUCCGAAGAUUGUUUUUGAAUUUUCUUUAUCUUGAAUUGAUUUUCAGCAGUCUCCCGCGUGCGAAUUCAGGAGUCACGGCGCCUUACAGCACAAAAAAAUAGGUGAUACAACGUGUCCCCUCGGUGAUCUUUUGAAGCCCCAUAAAUCCUGCUUUACACUCUUGUAGAUUGUUAAUGAAAUGUACAUUUAAGCGCACACGCACGACUUGGUCGGACAAAACCUUUUAGAAUAAUAAGCUAACUCUUUCCAGCAUCAGAGCUUAUAGUCGGCGAAGCCAUAACAGGUGACAACGCGGAUACCAGCACUAUGAAUAGCGCACCAAUAGCGAAAUGAUAGCAUAAAAUACAUUUCAUUAAUUAAAUACAUUAAAUAAAAAAGAUGUCGGGGAAGAAACGGUGCACCAGAAAAACGUGUUUAUGAGCGAACAGUUUCUAUGCCAUGCAAAUGAGAAUAAACUUACGUGGAGAAUGAAGCCGAACACUGGUGUUUGUGGUAUUGUACGUCCAACGCAAAGAUUCACCGACUCAAUGGGGGCAGGAACCACCUGAUUAAACGUACGCACGAUUAAGGAUUUUUUUUUUUUACAUUUCAGCAAUAUAAUAACUGUGCAUUUGUACCGCAUGGCCUUAUCUCUGAAUCGAAUAUCCUACUAAGCAAGGUACCGAGGAAUCCCUUCCAAGGCGUAAUUAAUCGCUUUAGAGGUAGACCUGGCGUCAAAGCCACUCUCUCAUCUUUUUAAAACCUUUACUUCCAGUAAAUAAAUUAUGAAAACGUAAAGCUUGUCCAGAAUUACCCUAAACCAUAGUUACUUUGACGACUGCUUACAAUCACCUGGAUCCAGUCUUUUCACUAAUGUAAGUUUCAGAUCGUCUCAGCACUUUAAGUCUAGUUGAUUAAAAUUUUGAUAAAAACGAUAAUACCGGUAUCAAUUCUAAAAUAUUUAAAAUAUCGCUUAUUUUAAAAUGUAUUUAACCGAGCGGGGUUCAGGCAAAUCAACUGUUAUGGAGUUUGGUUUUUAAUUCUUGCUUAUAAAAUGUGCUAAACAGUAGAAAAAUAAAAUAUAUCAUUGUCAUGUUGGGCCGGGGGACAAAAGUACAUGCAGUAUUAGUGCUCUGUCUUCACUUGAAGCAAAAGGCGCACAAAGGAAAACUGCUUAAAAGAAGUUUUUAAAGACUUAAAUUGAACGAAAGUGCUUUAACCAAAAUGGUUUUAUAAGGUGAAAGGUUAAAUUGUACUGCGAUGAAAACGAUCGCUAUAGUGUAAAAGCAGAUUCUUUGAAAGGCAACUCAUUUAAUUAAUGAUGAGAGCAGUUGGGGGCAGCAAGCUAGUAAAACUGUAUGAUAAAUUAAUGGCAUUGUUAGCGCGCUUUUAAUUACGGCUAUUAUGUUAAUUAUUUUACAUCAACGCGGAAUUGUCAGCAUGUCAGAUUUAAUCAAAACCAGCCAUUCUCUUGAAAACCGUUAUUUCAUUUCUGAGGGGAAAUAUCCACGUCAUAUUUGCGUUAAAAAUUACUUUUCAUUUAAAUGUGAUCUUUAAUUGGAUCUUUUUUUCCAUGGUUGACACAAUGGUUCCCUCAAGGCUAUACCCUCCAGAGGGCACGAUCUUAGCCUUUUUUGGAAUUCACCAUUUUCACCCCCUUAAAGAAUCCACUCUAUCAACCUGCAACUUUCUGUCAAACAUUAUGAUGUUGCUCAUUUUUAACCGUCCCUUUUGUGGAAUCACGCUGGAGCCGUUCACCGUCACAACAACGCGCAAAGGCACGAAACAGAAAAUAACAUAAUUGCCGCGCUAUACAAAAGAGAACAUGGCAUGGUGCUGAUUUAAAAGGCGGAGAGAAGCUACGCAAACGAAUUUCUUGCAUACUGGAGUUUUUACAUCGAUAUGUUUUUUAAAUUACUGGUCCACGCGCUUAACACAAGAUACUAGCUAAAAACUGAGAUCAAUAACCAUACGAUAAAAAUCUAAAUUCGCACAAUAGUACAAGUGAUAUGCUACAUGCUUUUAUAGAAUUUUGUGUUUCAAAUUAGAUCAACAUAUUUUAAUAAUAACCCUACACCAGCAUGCAUAGUUAUUACUAUUGUUAGUAUUAUUAUUACAUUUUAUGCUUUUAUCAUUAUGAAACAAGAAAACAAUUAUAACUGUAAUUAUUGUUAAAGGAUGUGUGACUAGUGUCGAAAAAUGAACGUAUAAUUCUUUAUUGAUUUUGCAAUUUUGCAUGUAGUUGGAACGCCAUCGUUCCAAUCGACGUUUCAGUGCAGAGAUGGUCUAACGCUUCGUUAAGAAAGGGAGCGUUUUAAAGACAGCAUUUGCAAGACAGGUCUCCAAUGAAAACGCUGCAUCUAAUAAAAAAAUCAACAACUGAAAGUGUGAAACGACCAUGCUGCUUAAAUAUUUUCCUGUGUACAUAUCACAUGCUGGCACUGUACUCUGCUAACACGGAAGCAGACGGCGCUUGUUUACGAUCAUUUAGACGUGGCAUCUAUCUGACAGGAACGAUGAAAAUAGAAGUUGAUUUCAAGAUAGAAAAUAUAUUUAAAACUGGAUUAAUUAUACCCGGACUGCAUUACCAUUUUGUGUGUUUCAAAAAUAAAAUGUCUUGUCUCAC